CCAGGGGAGUGGUGUCACCUGGGAGUGUGUGUCCCCAGAGGAGCAGGUGUCCUGAGGGGAGCGUGUCCCCUGGGGAUUUGAGUGUCCCCAGGGGAGUGGUAUCACCUAAGAGUGUGUGUCUCCAGGGGAGUGGGUGUUCUGGGGGAACGAGUGUCCCUGGAUGAGUGAUUGUCCCUGUGGGGGAAGCAGGGCAUCGAGCACCAAUAAAGACAUCUUGGUGA